AAACAUAAAAGUGGUGGGGGGAGGAAAGUCCGGGCUUCAUAGGAUGCCGUAGCGGAUAACGUCCGUCAUCCCCCACCACUUUACUUUUGAGAAAAAAAUUGAGAAUCCAAGCCUUGGUAGCUAAAAUAUUCUGAUUGGAUUUAGUAACUCAACGGUAAAGUGGUGGGGGAUAGGAACAGCGCAACAGAAAGAAUGUACAGCCCGCCACUAAUACUUUGGCGGGGCUGUAGUGAAAUCAUGCAAACUCUACGGGAAGCAAGGGCAAAUAGGUUACGCAUUUUGGCCGAUCCGGUCAAGAUUCACAUCGUGUCUCAUGAGAUGAUGUGGGCGGCGUAACGGGUAGCCCGCUAGAGCCAUGCGGUAACGCAUGGCCAAGAUGAAUAACCGCUUAAAACAAAACCCGGCUUACGGGCCCUGUUUUUCU
rnacentral:RNase_P_RNA from 2 species